GUGGAAUUUUUGGCUUGACCAGAAGCAGGAAGAGUAGGAAAUGUUAUUUUAAAAAGUCCCGUUUUUCACACUGCUGAUGUCUGGAGAGUCGAGAUAAGCUUUGAGCCUACUUCCAAAUCUCUGGGUGCUCCUCCAAGCGUGCUGGAAAUGGGGGUGUGAAACAUAGCUUGCUGAGCUGUCAAGAGGCAAGAUAAGGCAUUUGCAAUUGGCAGUGUUUCAAAGGACUCCAGAUUUCUCCAAAGAACCUAGAUUUCCCAGGUACUGAACAUGUGCAAAAUAGAAACAAACAUUCAAGAUGAGUGAGUGAUGAGUUCUGCCUGUGGUCAGAAGAAAACAACACUCCCAACUCUGCAACCUGAUCACUUCCCUACUUAGUCCUGUUUGUGGAGCCGCCUUAUUAACGACAUUAGAACAAAGAUAUGAAGCAGACAAUGAGGUCCUCCACCAGUGCUUCCUAGAACCUGGGGACAACACAGUUGUUAUGCAGCCAAUCCAUGCCCUGGAUGCAAGUUUCGCAGGCUCCAGUAUCAUUCUGGUCAUUCCUCUGCAAAACACUACUGAAAAAGCACUAAAGGAAUUGACAAAGGGAUUGUGACCUGAUGCUUCACAAUGAGAACCCUGUUGUGAUUAAAUGGUUAAGUUGAAAGUUAAUGGAAGCUGCAAAGUGUUUGCCUUCUGUAUCUGCAAUGGAAACCCCACCUGCUGUCUUCUUGGUGUUUUUGUUCCUUGUCUUUAAGACCUGGUCUCAAAUUCAGAAGUUCAAUACCAGCGUCAGUUUGACUUGACACAAUCUAUGGUUGUAGUGUAUUGAUUUCACAAAUUGAACCUAUGAAAUGAAACUCUGUCAUCAAGAAGCUAUUGGACACCUAUAUGGACAUGCAUUUACCUCUCUGCCCAGUGCAAUUAUUUAUAAAUGUCUGUGGAAGAAUAGAGAGAGGAGGGAGGAAAGGAAGAAUAGAUUAUUCUGUGUCUUUCAGGAAGAGAGAGACAAGAAAAGAGAAAAUAUGAAAAACACUAGAGCAACACCUAACUCUUGAUUCCUGGGUUAGAGAAGGCUUUUUGUGAGAAGCCUAACACUAGAAGGCUAUGAAGGAGUUUGCCGGGUAAAGGGGUGGUGGGAGAAAGGAGGAAACAAGUCCAAACUAAUAUAAGGUCAAGACACAAUGACAGUGGACUGAAUCACAAAGUCUGCCAUUUUUUUUUUU
rnacentral:lncRNA from 1 species